CACGUAGGGGACGAGCGUUGUCCGGAUUCAUUGGGCGUAAAGCGCGCGUAGGCGGCUCGGAAAGUCGGGCGUGAAAGCCCGAGGCUCAACCUCGGAACUGCCUUCGAUACUGCGGGUCUCGAGUCCGGGAGAGGUGAGUGGAAUUCCUAGUGUAGAGGUGAAAUGCGCAGAUAUCAGGAGGAACACCUAUGGCGAAGGCAGCUCGCUGGGACGGCACUGACGCUGAGACGCGAAAGCGUGGGGAGCAAACAGG
rnacentral:rRNA from 1 species